rnacentral:lncRNA from 1 species
GAUCGUAAUACUUGAAGUCAGCUGCGAACAAGACUUGAAGCCAAAUCCAAGCUAGAAGAGUGGUGAUUAGUGCAACGGGUACACCAAUGGCCAUCCAAGUAGCAAAGCUUAAUCCGGUGUCCGAACCGUACAAGCUAGUGAACCAAUGGAGCUCCGGAGCCGAUCAAGGUGCCAGUUCCACCGAGGCUGGCGGCGUAGCUGACGGCAAUGAGAAAUGGAACUUUGACCUUUUGCUUGAUGUCAUUCGAUCUACUGCUGUCACAUCGAAAUUCAACAAUUAGAUAUCUAAGUAACUAAAUAAUAAAAUGUCAAGACUUUUACCACUGUUUUGUUGGCUGUCCCGUCUCCUGGAGGGUGACGAUAGAGGAAUGUUGAGACGCCAGGCUAUUGGCUCCCAUUUCUACAUCCAUGGAGUCCUAUUAAGAUCAGGGAUCAACAUGGCUGUAACUCCGGAGUUGGAGAUCCACAAAGACAGCGACAUACUAACUGACAUGAACCCCAGCAUCAACCUGUUGAAGAGAUAAAGAACAUGUAGCCACAGAUUUGAUCUUUCGACGCCUAGUGCUAGCACGACGCCUCCAAAGAAGACAAUGUUGGAUUGUUUGAUGUAGAGAGCGCAGACUUCGGACGUACUUAGAAUAUCCAACAGCGGGAAAAGUACAAUUGGCAAGAGACUAGUAACUGCUUCGGGAAGUGCCGACGUAAGCCAAAAAAUUGUCAUGAAAUUUGUGGUAGCUAAUAAUGUUCUUACCGCUCCAUUGAAAAUUAAUGGCAGGAGCAGUAGUGGAGUUAAGACAAUGACCAACGUCUUCAUUUUCGGACUAACAUAAGUCUGGAAGAAUGUUUUGCAGCUUAGCAUUGUAGAGAAUUCCUGCAGACGGAUAAAAAAAGAUCUGGAUUAUUCUUUUGAAACCCGUCA